rnacentral:rRNA from 1 species
UACGUAGGUGGCAAGCGUUGUCCGGAUUUACUGGGCGUAAAGCGCGCGCAGGCGGUUAUUCAAGUCGAAUGUGAAAGCCCCCGGCUUAACUGGGGAGGGUCAUUCGAUACUGUUUAACUUGAAGGCAGGAGAGGGUAGUGGAAUUCCCGGUGUAGUGGUGAAAUGCGUAGAUAUCGGGAGGAACACCAGUGGCGAAGGCGGCUUCCUGGCCUGUUCUUGACGCUGAGGCGCGAAAGCUAGGGGAGCAAACGGG